rnacentral:rRNA from 1 species
AGUGAACGCUGGCGGCGGGCCUAAUACAUGCAAGUCGAACGAAGUGGCGCGCGGGUGGGUAAUAUAUAGUUAAUCUGCCCUACACAGGGGAACAACAAUUGGAAACGACUGCUAAUACCUCAUAGUGUAUGAUGAGACUAUAUCGUCUCAGCUAGUUGGUGAGGUAAUGGCUUCCCAAGGCUAUGACGCGUAACUGUUCUGCGAGGAUGAUCAGUCACAUUGUACCGGAGACACGGGUCAAACUCCUUCCGCAGGCAGCAGUAAGGUAUAUCGCGCAAUCGGCGUAACUCUGACGCACCAACGCCUCGUGGAGGACUACACUUUUCGGAGCGUAAACUCCUUUUAUCAGCCAAGCGUUACCUGCUGAAUAAGCACCGGCUAACUCCGUGCCAGCAGCCGCGGUAAUUC